GCCGGGUGUGGUGGCGCGCGCCUGUAAUCCAAGCUGCUGGGAGGCUGAGGCUGGAGGAUCGUUUGAGCUCAGGAGCUCUGAGCUGUAGUGGACUAUGCCGAUCGGGUGUCCGCACUAAGUUCGAUAUCGAUAUGGUUCUCCUGGGGGAGCCCGGGACCACCAGGUCGCCUAAGGAGGGGUGAACCGGCCCAGGUCGGCAACGGAGCAGGUCAAAGCCCCCGUACCGCUCAGUAGUGGGAUCGCGCCCGUGAAUAGACGCUGCAGUUCAGCCUGAGUAAGACAGCGAGACUCGGUCUUU
ensembl:misc_RNA Metazoa_SRP Metazoan signal recognition particle RNA